rnacentral:rRNA from 2 species
GAGUGCGAUCAUACCAGCACUAAUGCACCGGAUCCCAUCAGAACUCCGCAGUUAAGCGUGUUUGGGCGAAAAUAGUACUAGGAUGGGUGACCUCCCGGAAAGUCCUCGUGUUGCACCCC